rnacentral:rRNA from 1 species
AUUGAACGCUGGCGGCAGGCCUAACACAUGCAAGUCGAGCGGAUGAUGGGAGCUUGCUCCUUGAUUCAGCGGCGGACGGGUGAGUAAUGCCUAGGAAUCUGCCUGGUAGUGGGGGACAACGUUUCGAAAGGAACGCUAAUACCGCAUACGUCCUACGGGAGAAAGCAGGGGACCUUCGGGCCUUGCGCUAUCAGAUGAGCCUAGGUCGGAUUAGCUAGUUGGUGGGGUAAUGGCUCACCAAGGCGACGAUCCGUAACUGGUCUGAGAGGAUGAUCAGUAACACUGGAACUGAGACACGGUCCAGACUCCUACGGGAGGCAGCAGUGGGGAAUAUUGGACAAUGGGCGAAAGCCUGAUCCAGCCAUGCCGCGUGUGUGAAGAAGGUCUUCGGAUUGUAAAGCACUUUAAGUUGGGAGGAAGGGCAGUAAGCUAAUACCUUGCUGUUUUGACGUUACCGACAGAAUAAGCACCGGCUAACUCUGUGCCAGCCGCCGCAGUAACAC